AUCAAAAUCAGUUUUCCAUAGACAGCAGGUGCGAAAGCGUAAAUCCUGCCGAGGAGAAUGUUAUUAAACUUAAUAUGUUUAAUUACAGUUCUUUGUCUGUGGCAGAGGACUGUUUUUAAUUA
rnacentral:sRNA from 1 species